AACUGGAAAAGAUCAUGGAGUGCAUCUAGAUUAAUCCUCUUAUUUUACAGGUAACUUAGGCACAGGCAGAGUUAAAAGACUUGCCCAAAGUCAUAGACGUUGAAUAGGGAUUCAAACCUUUUCUCCAUCUAACUCAAAAUUCGACACAUUUUCUUCUUCAUCAGUCUGCUCUGGGAUUUUUUCCCUACAAGACCAUGAAAACCCAGAUAUAUUUGUGGUAAAUUGCUUAGAUCUCCCAUUUAGAAGAAAGAUCAUUGAGAUUUUUCAGCUUUUUGCAGUUGAUCAUCAUUGGUGA
rnacentral:lncRNA from 1 species